AUGUCCGCCCGGUCGGCGUCGCGCAGCACCCAAACGAACCGCUGGUUGCUGUCGCGCAGCGCUGCGGCCAGCUCCCUGACCUGCUCUGCCCGGAGAGACGACGUCGUGCCGAACGAAAUGUACAGCACCGACGACGGCGGCUGCCUGUCGAGCCAUUCCAGGCACUCGUGUCGCUCCGCCGGAGCCUGUGCGGCCGCGGCGGCAUCGGUGGCGGGCAGCACCGGGUUCAGAGGCCCGAUGGCGAACAGCGUGUGGCCGUCGGAGGAGGAGGCGCUCUGGGCCGCGAGCACGUCGAGGAACUCGCCCUCGAGCGCGCGGCAGGUGUUCACGACCAUGCCGGAGCCGGGCGCGCGGCGGCGCUCCUGGCCCAUCCGCUUGGCGAGCGCCACGAAGUCCUUGGUCGCGCAGGCGUCGGCCGGGUGGAACACCAUCCCGUGCUCCCGCAGGAGGCGGUGGCCGGGGUCCAUCCACCCGACGUUGUAG
rnacentral:rRNA from 1 species